AUUGAACGCUGGCGGCAGGCCUAACACAUGCAAGUCGAACGGUAACAGGAAACAGCUUGCUGUUUCGCUGACGAGUGGCGGACGGGUGAGUAAUGUCUGGGAAACUGCCUGAUGGAGGGGGAUAACUACUGGAAACGGUAGCUAAUACCGCAUAACGUCGCAAGACCAAAGAGGGGGACCUUCGGGCCUCUUGCCAUCGGAUGUGCCCAGAUGGGAUUAGCUAGUAGGUGGGGUAACGGCUCACCUAGGCGACGAUCCCUAACUGGUCUGAGAGGAUGACCGCCCACAUGGAGACUGACCACAGGCCCAGGCACCGAGGGGAGGACGAGGGGGGGAAAUUUGGAAGAAGGGGGGAAGCUUGAACAAGCCACGGCGGGUUGAUGAAGAAGCGCUUCGGGUUGUAAAGUACUUUCCGGGGGGGGAAAGGGGUUAAAGUGAAACCCUUUGUUCAUGGACGUUACCCGCAAAGAAAGCACCGCUAAACUCGUG
rnacentral:rRNA from 1 species